GUCCACGCCGUAAACGGUGAGAGCUCGUCGUCGUGGGUAUUGACCCCUGCGGUGACCAAGUUAACGCAUGAAGCUCUCCGCCUGGGAAGUACGGUCGCAAGACUAAAACUCAAAGAAAUUGACGGGGGCCCGCACAAGCGGUGGAGCAUGUUGUUUAAUUCGAAGCAACGCGCAGAACCUUACCUGGAUUUGACAUCUCGGGAAUCUUCCUGAAAAGGAAGAGUGCCUUCGGGAACCCGAUGA
rnacentral:rRNA from 1 species